AGAUAAACUGACUGGUGAAUCUUGUGCAAUUACAGAGGCUGGAGACAGACACGACAAUUGAUUACUGCAGGUGCUGUGCUUUGAAAUCCCAAGGGCACCCAUUCACCUCUCCCGCCUGAGGACCACUUCAGUGGAGAAGCCCUACUAUAAGCCAUCUUAAACCAGACCUACAUCUUAAACUAGACCUACAAUUAGUCACCCCAGGUAGCUGUCUCAUUGCAUCAAUUCUCUGUAGAUUCUC